rnacentral:rRNA from 1 species
AUUGAACGCUGGCGGCAGGCCUAACACAUGCAAGUCGAGCGGAUGAAGGGAGCUUGCUCCUGGAUUCAGCGGCGGACGGGUGAGUAAUGCCUAGGAAUCUGCUUGGUAAUGGGGGAUAACGUCCGGAAACGGGCGCUAAUACCGCAUACGUCCUGAGGGAGAAAGUGGGGGAUCUUCGGACCUCAUGCUAUCAGAUGAGCCUAGGUCGGAUUAGCUAGUUGGUGGGGUAAAGGCCUACCAAGGCGACGAUCCGUAACUGGUCUGAGAGGAUGAUCAGUCACACUGGAACUGAGAGACGGUCCAGACUCCUAGGGGAGGCAGCAGUGGGGAAUAUUGGACAAUGGGCGAAAGCCUGAUCCAGCCAUGCCGCGUGUGUGAAGAAGGUCUUCGGAUUGUAAAGCACUUUAAGUUGGGAGGAAGGGCAGUAAGUUAAUACCUUGCUGUUUUGACGUUACCAGCAGAAUAAGCACCGGCUAACUUCGU